GACGAACGCUGGCGGCGUGCUUAACACAUGCAAGUCGAACGGAAAGGCCCUGCUUUUGUGGGGUGCUCGAGUGGCGAACGGGUGAGUAACACGUGAGUAACCUGUCCUUGACUUUGGGAUAACUUCGGGAAACUGGGGCUAAUACCGGAUAGGAGCUCCUGCUGCAUGGUGGGGGUUGGAAAGUUUCGGCGGUUGGGGAUGGACUCGCGGCUUAUCAGCUUGUUGGUGGGGUAGUGGCUUACCAAGGCUUUGACGGGUAGCCGGCCUGAGAGGGUGACCGGCCACAUUGGGACUGAGAUACGGCCCAGACUCCUACGGGAGGCAGCAGUGGGGAAUAUUGCACAAUGGGCGGAAGCCUGAUGCAGCAACGCCGCGUGCGGGAUGACGGCCUUCGGGUUGUAAACCGCUUUCGCCUGUGACGAAGCGUGAGUGACGGUAAUGGGUAAAGAAGCACCGGCUAACUACGUG
rnacentral:rRNA from 1 species